UGCCCUCCGUCACCAUGACCGAGAGUACGCUGACCACCGACGAGGUCCGGGUGCCCCUGGGCGCUUCGCCCCCGGGCCCUACGGCGGCGGCGGGGGCUUCCCCGGCAAGCCCUGGGGUGCUGGGGUGUGAAGAGGAGCGGGGAUCCGGGCCCGGCGUGUCGCCCCCCGAGAGCCCAGAGGCCGAGCGUGGCGCGGACCUGGGCGCCGACGAGGAACAACCCGUCCCGUACCCGGCACUAGCGGCCACAGUCUUCUUCUGCCUCGGGCAGACCACGCGGCCGCGCAGCUGGUGCCUCCGACUGGUUUGUAAUCCAUAUCCUUCCAGGACUGGCAGGGCGCUGGGGACUAGGGCGCGGGACUCCCCUGCGUAAGCCCUUGAGCCCGGCUUAGGGGAUCCAGCGCGGGCUGGGCAGAGGCGUGAGGGCAGCGUUCUUCCCAGAGGCGGUGGAGGUGUCUUGUGGGGACGCCUCUCGGGACUUGGCAGUGAGAUUCGGGUUCAGAGGCAGCGCUGGACUAGGGGAGUAUGAGAAGCAGCCUCUAGGAUGUUGCCGGCUUGGAAGGGAAAGAAGGGUGGUUAACUCCUGCGUUCUAUGGGUGGAGGUCGGGACGGGAAUCCCCCAGCCCUUCCUUGGGUUUUUGAACACUUGGGCCGGUGCGUCGACCCUCGGUGGGAACAGGGAGGCCAGAAGGGGUAGAGUAAGGGGAGGAAGUUUUCCACCCCGUCUGCGGGACCCUUGGGGCCUGUGUGCCUGUGCCGGGGCGGGGCUGGUCCCUGGUUCUUCUCCCUGAGUGAGGCGGUGACGUUGGUUGAGAACUCUCUUCCAGGCUGAACUCCAUGCAGGGGCUGAUUUAAGUCAUGCGCAGCUGGGGGUAGGGGGCAGGGAGGCAGCCAGCACCGAAUCAGACCCUCUUCUCCACAGUCACUUAGCCAUAGAGGAAAGGAUUGCUCCUUCUGAUUCCUGGCCACAAGGGCACAGAGUUUCAGAGAAGGUUCCAGAACAGAGUUGGGUUAGCGCCAGGGACAUUUCUGGAAUGCAGAAAGAGACUGGGGCACCCCAGCAGGUGGCUUUUGGGGACUGCCCUGGCAGACUGUGAGAAACUGAGAUCCAUGUCUGGUACUGGUUGUAACCCCACCCCCACCCCAAACAGCCCCUCUGAACUGGUCACCAAAGUGGCCUGGGCUGUGGGUGCUGCUGUUUCCUUCCUGGGUAGAAGGCCAAGGGGGGUUGACAUGGGCCCAUAAACUCUCCCCAGCAGAGUCGGAGACAGGCAAAAUGAGCAAUGUGUGUAUAUGUUUCUCUACCUUGUGUGUUUAACUGUAUAAAUAUUAAAUACAAAAGAGGAAUCUGUACCAAAAAAAGUAAUAAAAGCCCGUGUUUCUCUU